GUAAAUUACUUGCAUCCUGUUGUUCUCUCUUCUUUAUAUCUCAGGACAAAUUAAUUUAGCAAAUCCUUUGCUCCCCCCAUUACCUUCAUUUAUAGUGACAUUUCUACCAAGACUUUCUAAUGCUCUUUUCUCCAUGUUAAAAAAGACCACAACCCCUUCUCUACUGGAGUAGAGCAGUUUUAUUUUCUUGGGGCUGAAACAGUCUUCACAUGGAGCAGGCACAUCUAAAUGAACAUGCUGGGAAGUAUCUUAUGCCAGCAGGUGGAACUCCAGUGGUGACUAGGGCUGUUGGGCUCCACAGUGGGAAAAAGUUCCAACAUGCACUUACAGCACACCACCUCAUAGUAGGUUUGGCAAGGACUUGGCUGGGUAUAGGUGGGGACACUGACUCUUUUUUCUGUCUCCAUGGGAUAGAAAGGUGCCAAACACACUGUGGGCUAGCUGGAUUACAGCCAAGCUGGAGGUUCUUGCAAGGCACAUAUUGGUUUUGAGAUGUGAUGCAAAGAGAUGCCUGAAGCUGGCUUAGCUGACUUAGACAUAUGCAGAGUAUUAUUGGUUUCUACUUGCCUCAGCCCUCAUCUAGACCAAUUAUCCUCCAGAGAUGGAAACUAUUUAUUGUUCUGUGUUUAAGGUACUAUCAUGCUAUUAAACUCAGUACAUUUUAUCUUGCUGUUAAACUCAGUACAUUUUAGCUUGCUC
rnacentral:lncRNA from 1 species